rnacentral:rRNA from 1 species
CCUACGGGUGGCAGCAGUGGGGAAUAUUGGACAAUGGGGGGAACCCUGAUCCAGCCAUGCCGCGUGUGUGAAGGAGGCCCUCGGGUUGUAAAGCACUUUCAGUGAGGAAGAACGCCUGGUGGUUAAUACCCAUCAGGAAAGACAUCACUCACAGAAGAAGCACCGGCUAACUCCGUGCCAGCAGCCGCGGUAAUACGGAGGGUGCGAGCGUUAAUCGGAAUUACUGGGCGUAAAGCGCGCGUAGGUGGCUUGAUAAGCCGGUUGUGAAAGCCCCGGGCUCAACCUGGGAACGGCACCCGGAACUGUCAAGCUAGAGUGCAGGAGAGGAAGGUAGAAUUCCCGGUGUAGCGGUGAAAUGCGUAGAGAUCGGGAGGAAUACCAGUGGCGAAGGCGGCUUUCUGGACUGACACUGACACUGAGGUGCGAAGGCGUGGGUAGCGAACGGGAUUAGAUACCCUAGUAGUC